UACAGAGGUCUCAAGCGUUGUUCGGAUUCAUUGGGCGUAAAGGGUGCGUAGGCGGCGCGGUAAGUCGGAUGUGAAAUCUUGGAGCUUAACUCCGAAACUGCAUUCGAUACUGCCGUGCUUGAGGACUGGAGAGGAGACUGGAAUUUACGGUGUAGCGGUGAAAUGCGUAGAUAUCGUAAGGAAGACCAGUGGCGAAGGCGGGUCUCUGGACAGUUCCUGA
rnacentral:rRNA from 1 species